UAAAUUUCCAAGACUAUAGUCUCUCUCAGUGCCAAAAGCGAGACUGUUUCAGAGACUCGGGAUCAGAGACUGAUUAUUUUAUCCUGGGAACUGACGCUUGUAACAUUUUUCAAGUAAUAUAAGUGAACGAUAUUGUAUGAAAGGGCAAUUAUUUCAUCGAUAAGAACAAUUUUUGGCAACAGAAUCAGGAUUCGUGGAUGUUGAUUCUAUUUUAUCAGGGCUGUUACACGUAUGUGGAAAAAAUUACGCCUACCUCGAAAUGAAGCAUCGAAAAAUAUACUACAUAAAGUUUGGGCUAUUUCUCUUUUACCGGUAUAUCGAUUUGACGAAGCAAUUACUAUUAUAACUGUAUACACUGAACAACAGAGUGAACUCAAUCAGCGCAAA